AGAAUCAACGCUGGCGGCGUGCCUAACACAUGCAAGUCGCACGAGAAAGGGGAGCAAUCCCUGAGUAAAGUGGCGCACGGGUGAGUAACACGUGAAUAAUCUACCUCCGAGUGGGGAAUAAACUGAGAGAAAUCUUAGCUAAUACCGCAUAACACUUACGAGGUCAAAGCAGCAAUGCGCUUGGAGAGGAGUUCGCGGCCGAUUAGUUAGUUGGCGGGGUAAUGGCCCACCAAGACGAUGAUCGGUA
rnacentral:rRNA from 1 species